CUUCUUACCAAUGCCUAACCACCACACGAGCAAUCACUUGCCGCCAAUACUCUCAUGCCUGAAACCAAUCCCUUAUCCCCUUUGCUUUAUCCAUCAGCCAAACAUCAUUUCCAGCAUCCGAAAGAUGCACGCCAUCAAACCGGUAGAGGGCCUCACAGUUGAAACGUAGGCCCGGGUGUUCAAUGACCGUCCCACCCAGGGCUGCCACUCUACGCACCACCGCCCAAUCCAAGGCUUUCCUAGCCCUAUUCAUGGCUAUCAGGCACCUGCAAUCUCUCGAAACCCGCCUCUCCAUCAACGAGACCCAAAUAAUUGUGAUGUUCGGGUAAGAGGCCUUAAGCUCCUCAAAGUCACUAAAUAUGUGCCACUGCAAAUCAACUGCCUUUCUGUAAGCUAGGUCAUUUUCUCCCAAUUGUAUCAGUAAUGCAUCUGGGGGGCCCUCCACUGCUGCUCUGGCCUUAAUUGCGGGCAACAUCUCGGCCCAGCGCAUUCCCCUCCGAGAGACCCAGGAUAUAGUGAUGUCAGACGGUAAGCCUAGGCGCGGCCCGAGACCGGAAUUGAUGGCGCGGACCCUGGCCCAAUGCACAAUGCUGUGCCCGAUUAUCUCCUGUAAGAAAAUUGAAAGAACAGGCCAUGGUCAGUUAACCCCAGGUGAGCCGUCAUAAAUUUUUUCUAACAUAGCGUUUGUAAGCAUCUGAUUUCCAGCGGCC